ACGGAAGGCAGCAGUAGGGAAUAUUGCACAAUGGGGGAAACCCUGAUGCAGCAACGCCACGUGUGGGAAGAAGCAUUUCGGUGUGUAAACCACUGUCGUGAAGGAAUAAUGCCUGGUUUCGGCCAGGUUGAAUGUACUUUGAAAGGAAGCACCGGCAAACUUCGUGCCAGCAGCCGCGGUAAUACGAGGGGUGCAAGCGUUGUUCGGAAUCACUGGGCGUAAAGGGAGCGCAGGCGGAAGUGCAAGCGGUCUGUACAAUACCGGGGCCCAGCCCCGGACCUGCAGUCCGGACUGCACCUCUUGGAUAGUUCAGGGGCAAGCGGAAUUCCUGGUGUAGCGGUGGAAUGCGUAGAGAUCAGGAAGAACACCGAUGGCGAAGGCAGCUUGCUGGGGACUAAUCGACGCUCAUGCUCGAAAGUGCGGGUAGCAAACAGGAUUAGAUACCCUGGUA
rnacentral:rRNA from 1 species